UGUCACAUGUUUAGUGUAAAUUGUCACAUGACCAGAGCUGUUUACUUCCUGGUUGCACCAUGAGAAGACGAUGGCUGCAUCAAAGCUCCCAAACAAAAGUUUCACUUUGAGUCAAGUUCUGGAUAUGUUGGAUCUAGGUGACUGCCCAGACAAGGCAUGCAAACAUUGCAGUUAUCCCUCAUAAUGAGAAAUAUGCUGUCCUCAGUGAUUGUGAUAGCGAUGGGUCAGAUAUGGACUAUGGACAGGCCAUUUGCCAUUGAAUGCAUAUGCUGAUCCUAUGCAAACAGAUCAUGACAGGAACAACGUUAUCAGUGAUGAUGACCUACCCCCACCCAUUGUUGAUAAUGAAGAGCCAAGGGCCUCUACCUGACCGGGAGGUCAGCCAGAAGAGCCAAGGGAAAAGCUGCAAGUGGUCAAAAAUAAAGAUUGAGUGUUCAAAUGAUCGAAGAGGCCUGCCACCGAUGUGAUUCCAAACCACAUAGUAUACAGCCCAAAUAUGCAAAAGUUUGGCACGAAACCACUGAGCCACGGAAGGAGAUCUUUACUGGCUGCUACUGUUAAAGAUCAGGCAAGAUAUGACAAAGCUUCUCACUGGCCAAUCAACAUGAUGCACCGGUUCCAGAGAUGUCGUCAUUGUGACAAACGCACUACCUAUGCAUGUGAGAAAUGCAAAGCGCCACUGUACAUUGAGUACUUCAAGAUAUACCAUGGACAGUAGAAAAGGAGAUAAGAG